UCGGCUGCCUGCAAAGUCUGCAGGAGCUGGCGCGCUUCUUCCUCCUCCUCUUCGGUUGCCGCCGCCACAGCCUCCCCACCGGCCGCCGGCCCCGCGCUCGGCUCGGCAGGCAAGCGUGUGCCUCUGGUUCAGGGCCUCAAUUUCCCCAUCGGGACAACAGAGAAGGUAACGGUCCGUCCAGGAGAGCUAAGGGCGCGAAGCCACCUCCGUCCGGAGACUGAGCUUCUGCACGCCUCAGUCUCCAGGGUCCUCUGAAGGCCCCCCCAUUCCCAUCUCGGCGCGCGCUCCGCCCCUCGGAAUUCCCGGCUCCGCAGGGGGGCGGGUCUGGCAGGGAGGAGGGGCGGGCGAAACAGGGAGAAAGUUUGCAGCAACUUUUCUUAAGCGUAGGUCCCAGGAGCGGAUGCGCGUGGCCUGCGCAGACGCAGUGGAAGAAGGACGGCGGCGCGGUAGCCUGCCCAGCCCCCUUCUUCUCAACCCUUGGGAUGGCACAGCUGAGCCACAGCUGGGGGGGCGGUGCCUCAUUGUGGCCCGCUCGCCAUGUCCUAUUGGCUGGAUGCCGAGGUCCCGCCCCUCAUGUUUUCCCUUCCCCCUCCCCGAUUCGUCCUCUUUGCGUCCCGCUAGCUCCCCGCCAAGCUAUUGGCCAGCCCUACUGGCCUCCUGAUUGGCCCACCGGGCAACCUCCUCCCCAUAACGCGUACACAGCUACACCUCGGAGUCCAGAGCUUCAGGCAGACGAAAGGGUCUUUUAUUUGCGAGGGUCGGGGGUGGGGGUCCUAGGUGGGGCCAGACAAUAAAUACCGAGGAAUGUCGAGUCUCAGUGCAUCCAAAACGUGGAUUAGGGUGAUGGGGUCCUGGAGGCUGUCAGCAAGUCGGAGGAUAAAGGCAAUAAAUAUCCAAACCACCGAGACGGGCGGAGCCAGCUGUGGCUCCUAGAGCAGCGCACGUAAGGGGGGAGGGGGGCUGGCAAAAGCAAAAAGUUCCCGAGGGAGCAGGCAGAGGUGACGCCGAACGUUCGCUGCGGUAGAACGUUCCGGGGAGAAUAGGAGUUCAUGCACAGGGAGGAUUUGUGGUUUGCGAACAGAUGGCAGGUGCGUGGAGGGUGAAAAUCGGAUGGCUGAGCUCCGGUCGGCUGCCUUUUCGGACCGCGAUAUGCUCAUCCAGGUCGAGGAUGGCUGAGCUCCGGUCGGCUGCCUUCUCUGGACCGCGAUCUGCCCAUCCACGUCGGGGCCUCAACCAGCCCAGAAGAAAGCAGUGAUCGGCAACUCCCCCCAGCAGCAGCCGCAGCAGCCUCAGCAGCAACUACAUUCCUGGCUGCAAGUCCCCCGCUAACCCCAUUCGCCGGCCAAGGAUCCGGCUCCUCCCUUCCCGGCCGCCAGGGGGCGGGCCCGGAUCACAGGAUUGGAGCUGGGCGAAGACCCGCGCUCGGAGCGGUAUGAACUGGGAGGCGGUGGGAGCAGCUUCUAGGCCGAGCCCGGGUCACCCAACCCUUUAACCGAGCCUGAGGUCUAGGGUUCAGGGGACGAAGGUGGCUCCCGGGCGAUGACAGAUUGGGACGAGAUGGCCUGCGCUGGCCACCAACCCAAUGCAGCCCAAGGAGGCGGCACGAGCCAGAGCAGCGGCGAACACGAGCAAGGAACACGCCUCCGAUAGGCCAGGCCUAGGGACCUACGGGCGAGAGGGCGGGAUCAGCACUUCGGGACGGCCUGAUUGGUUCCUGAGAGCCGACCCGCCUAUGCCUAUAAGGGUCCUCAAUUCUCCAAUCCCGCCCCACACCCCCUACAGCUGGCAGCAGGGGCUUCUCGGCUCGCCAGCCAGAAAUCCUGUCUGAAAUCCGCAGCUCAUCAUUGGCCACUUCCUAGCGGCCUGUAUUGAUUGGCUGCCUGUGCAUCCUCCCUUCCCGCGGAGGCCAAGCCCCGAAGGGGUGCAGCUAAGCGGUGGUGGCAUGGGGUGGGUGGAGUGAGGCCGGGGCACGGCAGCGGCGGCGAGAGAGCGUGGGACGUACCCUGGCAGGGAGCAGCAGGUGGCGGCGGUGCAUGGGGCCUGGCCCCACCAGCGGGGACUGGCCCAGAGCCACGGCCGGGGGGCCAUCUAGCUGGAGAGAGAAGGGACAGGUGACCCGAUCGGAGCCCAGCCUAGCCCUGCCUCCUUCGGCAGGGGGUGGGGGCGGGUGAGAGUGAGGAAAGUCGAGGUCGGGGGAGGAAUCUAGGGAGAUCCCCGGAGGGAUUUGAUGAGAGGCCCGAACUGAGGGAGAUCUGGGACUGACGGAGCCCCAAAGAGAUAGGGUGAGCCCUAAAUCUGUACGGGAGGGGGGUUAGCAGGCCUGAGGCAGGGGAAAGAGAGGGGUCUUACAUGGGAAGGUGGAUCCGUGGCCCGGGGACUGGGGACCCCCGUGACAGCUGGAAGGAGAAGAGAGAGGCGUAUGGCGCGUGAAGGGGCAGAGAAGGGAGGUGGCGCGGCGUGCCCCAGCCUGGGCCCCUUUCCUCCCCCAACUUGUCCCCCUCGCUGGCCCACCUCCUCCCGGUGCCCUCCCGGAAGGGGGCAGAUGAGGGACUCGCCUGCGGCUCCCUCUGUCUGCAGCAACUCCAGCCGCUCCUGCAGCUGCUGGAUGUGCACCUCCAGGUCUCGGUUCCGGGCUUCGGCCUCCUGUAGCUGACUGAGAUGAGGAAAGAAACGUGACCCACUGGGGUCUGGGCUGCAGAGUGCCAAGGGUGUCGGGGACCCUGUGCCCCGACCCCGACCUGGCGAAGUUCUGGUUGGCCGUGCGGAUGGCCUCCAGCUCGAGGCUCAGGUUCUGCCGGCUGAGCACCUCCUCCUCCAGGGCUUCCUGGAGCUCCCGCAGGGUCACCUCCGACUCUGUCUCUGCCGCGGGGGCAGCAGUUGGAUCUGCCACUUCAGCCUGUGGGUGGGGACUGGGUUUGGGGCUGCCUGUGGCUCCUGGAGCACAGCUUAUCCACUGCCCACCAUCACCCUGUCUCUAGAAUCCCCAUAGCUUCAGCAAGUCCCCUCCUGUCCACACAGGAAGCAAAGAGCUGUUCUCAAAACUCAGCUUGACUGACCAUGUCCCUUCCCUGAUCCAAUGUUUCCAGUCCCCAGUGCCCCAGGACAAGGUGGCUUUACCAAAAGGCCUUGCUUGGUUUGUUUCCUGCUGGUCUCUGUACCCGCCCCUUAUGUACCCAUGCAGCCAUAUGACUGACCCUCCUGUCACUUUUCAGAACAGAUCAGCCUUAGAUAACCGGCAGGGUCCCCUCAGGGCUUCUGCUCUUGAUAUUCUCUCUACUGACCAUGGGACACUUUUCUCUCCAUGGGUGGCCCUGCCUCUUUCACCAAUGCUCGGCUCAGACUCCUCAGAGCCCCCCACGCACACACAGAGUUAGUGCCCUGUUCUGAUGUCCUCAUAGGGACCAUCUCUUGACUGAAGUGACCUUAUCUCUGCUGCUUUGUUUCUGUCCUCUAAAUUCCCAGAGGCACAAGGCACCUGGCAAGUGCCAGUGGGUCCCUCCUGCUGCAACUGACCAGCCUCUCCUUCAGCUACUCACCAUGUCCUCUGGGGGGGGCACCCUGGGCUCCACGCUGGGCUCUUGCACACGUGGCUCAGGCAAUUGCUGGGCCUCCAGUUCCAUUGGUGUGGGGUCUGGGACCUCACUGUCCCUGCAAAGAGGAAGAGGGGAGGAAGAGUCCUUCCUACCCAAGAGGCUGCCAAGCCCUGGGAACCCACUGCCUAAGGGCAUGGAGCAGCUGGCCCCUGGUUCAACCAGGGGUGAGGGGGAGUGAAGGGGCCCUUCUCUGUCUCGCAUGUGGCCUCAGGCCCCUGGGAGCUGCCCUUUCUUAUGUAUGGAAAUGGGGCCCAGACACCAUGUUCCAGGGUCUGUACAUUUCCUCCCUUAACCCCAUCACCUUUGCAUACCUCUCUCCUUAGGACCUCAGAAUAGGGAAGGGGUCCUAAUGAGGAAGACCUUGCCAAGUUCUGGGCACCUUCAAAGAUGUGGUCAUAAGACUGGAUGUGGGAUUCCCCAGACUGUGACUGAAGCUAUUAGGACACCCCCUCAUGCUCAGCUGCUAGGAGGGGGUGUAGGGCAGAGAUCUCCUAAGAAUAUGAACUUUCAAUAAAAGUGGCGUCCUUUGACCAGCAAUCUCUCCCAUGGGAAUAUGCCUCAAGGACCUAUGUACCCUGGACAAGCUCUGAGACCAACCUGUUGGCUGUUUGUUGUACUCAGAGUCAGGGGUUUGUAGCAGCCUGGGUUGUAACAGGAUGUGUUAAAGCUGACCUGACCUGACCUGACCUGACCUGCGGUGAGGAGGAGACUAGACAUGCUCAUGACUGAUAAGGGAUGCCGUUUGCAGAUUAGGAAGCAACCUGUUCUCACAGUGGAUAAACAUGUUUGCCAGCUUCGAGGCAGGGAUGUCGCUGAAUGGUGGGCUCAGAUGCAAGCUUCCUCUUCCUUAAUCUUAUUUCUUAAUUUACUUGUGAUAAGCAGUCUCAUUUACAUAAUUGAUGCUUUUUAAAGGCUUUAUUGUUACAUGACUAUAUUCUGUUAAAAUUGAUUGUAAAAUUCCAAGCUUAUUUUACCCCUGACUCUGAGUACUAGAAAUGUAAAAGUCUAGGGUUGCAGAAUUCUGGAAGACCAAGCCUACGGGCUCUAAGGUUUUGCAAUUGAAUCUAAAAUGUUAAAGUA